GACUCUCGGCAACGGAUAUCUCGGCUCUCGCAUCGAUGAAGGACGUAGCGAAAUGCGAUACUUGGUGUGAAUUGCAGAAUCCCGUGAACCAUCGAGUCUUUGAACGCAAGUUGCGCCCGAGGCCUUUAUAGGCGGAGGGCACGUCUGCCUGGGUGUCACGCAGCGUCGCCACCGCCCAAU
rnacentral:rRNA from 1 species